rnacentral:rRNA from 1 species
GUGAACGCUGGCGGUAGGCCUAACACAUGCAAGUCGAACGGCAGCACAGUAAGAGCUUGCUCUUACGGGUGGCGAGUGGCGGACGGGUGAGGAAUACAUCGGAAUCUACUUUUUCGUGGGGGAUAACGUAGGGAAACUUACGCUAAUACCUCAUACGACCUACGGGUGAAAGCAGUGGAUCUUCGGACCUUGCGCGAUUGAAUGAGCCGAUGUCGGAUUAGCUAGUUGGCGGGGUAAAGGCCCACCAAGGCGACGAUCCGUAGCUGGUCUGAGAGGAUGAUCAGCCACACUGGAACUGAGACACGGUCCAGACUCCUACGGGAGGCAGCAGUGGGGAAUAUUGGACAAUGGGCGCAAGCCUGAUCCAGCCAUACCGCGUGGGUGAAGAAGGCCUUCGGGUUGUAAAGCCCUUUUGUUGGGAAAGAAAAGCAGCAGGUUAAUACCCCGCUGUUCUGACGGUACCCAAAGAAUAAGCACCGGCUAACUUCGUG